rnacentral:lncRNA from 1 species
UCGUCGCCCCGAGCCCGCGCAAGCUGUCGAGCCCCGCCGCCGCCGGGAACGGGCUUCCCGCGCCCUGGAUCCGGUCGAUCCGAGCUUCUCCAUGCCCAAGACCUCACCGCCCAUUUGCCCCGCUCGCCGGAGCUCUGCUCCCGGUCACCGCCGCCCUGCUCGCCUCCUACUGCAACCGCCUCCUGCGUUCCUGCCACGAGCGCGUUGACCACGCCCUGCACCGCUUCGAUCUGCCUCGGAGGCCCAGCGCUACGCCAAGCCCACCUCCACAAUCCGGCCUGCUUCAGCCUCCUCCACCGACCGGCCCAUGAGGCCUGGUGAGCAGCCCCCGCCCCCUAUGCACUAUUGGGCCAGCCUGCAGUUUCGGCCCGCAUGUGUUUUUUUUCCUGUUCUGGACGUUUUGCUAAUUAUCCAGUGAUUUACAGUUUUGCAGAAAAGUCCCUCUAGUUCAUACAUUUAAUAACUCACAAAUGGUGCAGCGGAUUAAAAUGAUUUAAACAUGUAAAAUGCUUAGAAUUUUGUGUAGAUUAAUAAUUUGCAACUUUCACCCAUGUUAAAGUUGUUUAAAUGUGUUGUUUGAAUUAAUUUGCUAAAAUGCCAUGUUAAAAUGAUUUAUUUCAUAACUAAAUAACCGUAGCUUGGUUUUAAAUAAACUUUAUAUGUAAAUGGGGUGGAAAAAUGCCUAGUUUAACAUGGUGGACUUUAUUUCCCUGUUUAACAACAAUAAAAUAUGUUUUAGGGCAGAACAGUAGCAAAUUCAUAAAUUGCAUAUGAGGAUUUCCGGAAUUGUUGUUUAUUGUUCCGGCCUCAUUUAAACUUGCCUAAAUAGUUAGUCUACUUAUGCUUCACCCCUUGCCAUGUUGAAUAACAUUUAAUAUUGUUGGGUACAUAAACAAGAGCGAACUAAGUAACUUGAAUGUGGUGUUUCGUCAAUAUGCAACCCGUUGCAUAUUGAGCUCCACUUAAUUUAUAGUGUUGUUUGUUGCACUUUGCCAUGCCAUGCUCUUUAAAUCGGACAUGCAUCAUACUUGGUUGUGCAUCAUGCCAUGUUUAUGCUUGUGUGUUUACCAUGUUGUUUGUUUGUUUCUGGUGUUGCUUCUUCUUGAUAGUUCCUAUUUUGUUGCGAUCGUGAGGAUUCGUUCAACUACGCUUGGUUCGACUACGUCUGUUCGUCUUCUUCAUGGACUCGUUCUUCCUCCUAGCGGGAUUUCAGGCAAGAUGACCAUCACCUUGGAUCUCACUACUAUCAUUGCUAUGCUAGUUGCUUCGUCUAUCGCUUUGCAGCGCUACCUAUCUCUUGUCUAUCAAGCCUCCCAAAUUGCCAUGUCAGCCUCUAACCUUUUCACCCUUCCUAGCAAACCGUUGCUUGGCUAUGUUACCGCUUUUGCUCACCCCCUUGUGGCUUCAUGGUGGUGAGGGCUAACGGAUUGGGGAGGAGGAGAAGAGGAGGCGGCGGAUUGGGGAGGAGAGGAGGAGGCGGCGGAUUGGGGAGGAGAGGAGGAGGAGGAAGAGAAGAGGAGGCGGCGGAUUGGAGAGGAGGAGAAGAGGAGGCGGCAGAUUGGGGAGGAGAGGAGGCUCUCGGUAGGCUAGCGCGCGUGCACUGUUCAUAGCGCGAAUAGAAGGAGACGUGGCCACUGGCGCUAGUUGGGCGUAUUGGCUCAUCCUUUAUAUGUUCAAUGUUGGGCGGUUGAAAUAUGUUCUAUAUUGCAGGUGAUGGGCAGCUGACUUUUAUUGUGCACUUGUGCUGAUUUUGACUUCUGCUUAAUUUGAUACCUACUGUAUAAGUAAUGACACUAAUAUAAUAGAUAUCAGACUAAUGGAUUUGCUAACAGAUUGCCUCUUGUGAUGUUGAUUGAUUUGCAGGCUUACUGGUUUUGGUUCAGUUUGAAGGGCUCUCCGGGCUUAAGAUCUUGGUUUCAUUAGAAUUACAGAAUUUCUUUGCUCGGUAGUAUUGCCGGUGGUGGCAGUUUUACUUUGUGGAUGUAGGUUCUGUUGCCAGUGACACCUCAUGAAUUUUCUGUUAGAUUUAGCAGCCAUACAUACUGAAAGGGACACCUUUGGACAUUCCCUUGCUUUUUCAACAGUCUAAUUACUCGCAUGUAAAAACUGCAUCCAUUUUGGUAUGUGAUACUGCAAGUGUAAAUUUAGAACUGGACCUUAUGGUCUGGCUUCAGUAUCUAUUCAUCAUGGUUAUGUGCAUACUGCAUAAAAAUGGAGUAUCCUUGUGCUCAUUUGAGCUUGCUAUUAUGCCUUGCGUGUGCAUUAAAAUGGAG